rnacentral:rRNA from 1 species
UACGAGGGGGGCAAGCGUUGUUCGGAUUUACUGGGUGUAAAGGGAGUGUAGGCGGAUUGGUAAGUCAGGGGUGAAAUUUCCACGCUCAACGUGGGCACUGCCUUUGAUACUAUCAAUCUUGAAUGUUGGAGAGGGUAACGGAAUUCCAGGUGUAGCGGUGGAAUGCGUAGAUAUCUGGAAGAACACCAGUUGCGAAGGCGGUUACCUGGCCAAACAUUGACGCUGAGGCUCGAAAGCCGGGGGAG